AUAGUACUCCCUCCGUCCGGAANUACUUGUCCUAAAAAUGAAUAAAAUGAAUGUAUCUAUAAGUAAAAUAAGUCUAGAUACAUUUAUUUCUAGGACAAGUAUUUUCGGACGGAGGAAGUACAUU
rfam:Hordeum vulgare subsp. vulgare, WGS project CAJW01000000 data, contig: morex_contig_60760